GAUCAUGGCUCAGGAUGAACGCUAGCGGCAGGCUUAACACAUGCAAGUCGAGGGGCAGCAUGUCCGAACUUUCGGGUUUGGAUGAUGGCGACCGGCGCAAGGGUGCGUAACGCGUGAGCAACUUGCCCGUUUCAGGGGGAUAACCGUUGGAAACGACGACUAAUACCCCAUGGUAUCAUUGAGAGGCAUCUUUAUCUGAUUAAAGAAUUUCGGAAACGGAUAGGCUCGCGUGACAUUAGCUAGACGGCGGGGUAACGGCCCACCGUGGCGACGAUGUCUAGGGGUUCUGAGAGGAAGGUCCCCCACACUGGAACUGAGACACGGUCCAGACUCCUACGGGAGGCAGCAGUGAGGAAUAUUGGUCAAUGGUCGAGAGACUGAACCAGCCAAGUAGCGUGCAGGAUGACGGCCCUCUGGGUUGUAAACUGCUUUUAGUUGGGAAUAAAAGGGAGUACGUGUACUCUGUAUUGUAUGUACCAUCAGAAAAAGGACCGGCUAAUUCCGUG
rnacentral:rRNA from 1 species